rnacentral:rRNA from 1 species
CAGUAGCCGCGGGAAUACGAAGGGUGCAAGCGCUAAUCGGAAUUACUGGGCGUAAAGCGCACGCAGGCGGUUUGUUAAGUCAGAUGUGAAAUCCCCCGAGCUUAACUUGGGAACUGCAUUUGAAACUGGCAAGCUAGAGUCUUGUAGAGGGGGGUAGAAUUCCAGGUGUAGCGGUGAAAUGCGUAGAGAUCUGGAGGAAUACCGGUGGCGAAGGCGGCCCCCUGGACAAAGACUGACGCUCAGGUGCGAAAGCGUGGGGAGCAAACAGGAUUAGAUACCCGGGUAGUCCCUGUCUCUUAUA